rnacentral:rRNA from 1 species
AAAAUUGUAUCAUUAAUAAAUCAGAGUAGUAUUAGUUAAGGUCUUGAAACUCAAAAAAUUUGGCGGUAUUUUAGUCUAUUUAGAGGAACCUGUAGUAUAAUCGAUAAUCCACGAUGGACCUCACUUAAUUUUGUUUUUCAGUUUGUAUACCGCUGUUAUUUGAAGAUUUUAUAAGAAUAUUAAUUUUCAGAAUUUUUAAUUAAAAAAUAUAUCAGGUCAAGGUGCAGCUUAUAAUUAAGAAUUUAUGGGUUACAAUAAAUUUAUUUAUACGGAUGAAAAUAUGAAAUUAUUUUUUGAAGGCGGAUUUAAUAGUAAAUUUUUAAAGAUAAAAGAAUUGAUU